rnacentral:tRNA from 1 species
UCCCUAGUGGCUCAGACAGUAAAGAAUCUGUCUGCAAUUCAGGAGACCUGGGUUCAAUCCAUGGCUUGGGAA